rnacentral:ncRNA from 2 species
ACAGAAUCUCAAGCGCCUGGACCGGCCUUCGGCCGGUUGACGAGGAAGGGGUUUAUCGAGUUUUUCGGCGGGUGCCCCUCGGUGGCCCACCACCGUGAGGAUGCCUUGAAAAGCGGAGAGCAAUCCCCGUGACAAAGGGGUAUCCGGUGGGUGAA